rnacentral:rRNA from 1 species
UCGGGAAUUUUGGGCAAUGGGCGAAAGCCUGACCCAGCAACGCCGCGUGAAGGAUGAAGUAUUUCGGUAUGUAAACUUCGAAAGAAUAGGAAGAAUAAAUGACGGUACUAUUUAUAAGGUCCGGCUAACUACGUGCCAGCAGCCGCGGUAAUACGUAGGGACCAAGCGUUGUUCGGAUUUACUGGGCGUAAAGGGCGCGUAGGCGGCAAUUCAAGUCAUCUGUGAAAUCUCUGGGCUUAACCCAGAACGGCCAAGUGAUACUGUCGCGCUAGAGUGCAGAAGGGGCAAUCGGAAUUCUUGGUGUAGCGGUGAAAUGCGUAGAUAUCAAGAGGAACACCUGAGGUGAAGACGGGUUGCUGGGCUGACACUGACGCUGAGGCGCGAAAGCCAGGGGAGCAAACGGGAUUAGAUACCCGUGUAGUCCCUGAGCGGGCUGGCAAGGCGCAU